AAUUCGCAUCACAGGGGUUCACUGUGACAUCUUCAAGUAGAAGGAAAGCACAAGGAAUAGGCAUUCCUCAUUCCAGGAGUGCAAAUACAACCUGGAGAUGUGUCAUUUAGUGGUUCAACGUGGUCUUUGCUCUUGUGAGUCUCUGAGUAUGAUUUGUUGGUGUCUCAAAAUCAGCGAAGAACAGUUGACCUUCACGUUCCCUCCCUCCACCAGCACUCGCUAGAGGAAGUCACUUCCACCCCGAUAACCUCAUCUGCAGAAGAAAAAGACUGAGAUUCAGAGAGGCUAGCUCUUUACCCAACAUGACACAACUUGGUAAGAGAAAGAACCAGAACUUGAACCCUGGGAGAAGUACAAAGCCCAGGACUCUAAUCUCAGGAGACGACAUAUUUCACAGUUACUAGCAUCUUCAUUUGACAGACAAGGAAACUGAUGUUUGAAGAACUUUGUAAUUUCUUCAAGGAUUGUUUCAGGGAGUUGAACAUGCAAGACUGGUGGAAAUGUCACUGCAUUGCCUUUCAGAGGUGAGAUGAGAAGCUUCUUCUUCUUUUUUUUUUUUUUCCAAAUCAUAUUUUCUUCCUUGACCAGAAGUGUUCCUAUAGGAAAAAAUUACUGACCAAGAUGGGUGUGAAAUUUGACUUGAAGGAAGCAAAUAGGUUCGCAACGUGAAUCCCACUUUCUCAUCGUUAUGUCUGAUUGCCAUGAGAAAGAAUAACCUUUGCAGAAGUGAACAGGGUGUUUGUUUGAAGUAUGUUCGGCAAGUUAUGAAUUUCCUAACUAGUCUUCCUUGAUCUGGGCAAAAUAAUUGCCUUUUAUCUGCACAAAUACAUGCAUUUGUUCCCCUAAUGCAUACUGCCAUCUUACAGAGUUUCGGCAUGGUCCCUCUGUGAGAUCCCAAACCGUUUUAGGAAUGGGCAGUAAGCUGUCUUUGAGUUCUAUCUGCAGGUAGACCUGGAUUUAUCCCAGAUCUACCAUUCACACAUAGCAUGACUUUGGGGUAUUACUUAAUCAAGUCUUGAUUCCUGAUCUGUAAAAUAGGUUGCUUAAAAAUCUUAAGUGAGAUCAUACACGUAGUAUAGAGCAAGUGCACAAUGAAUGGUAGUUACGAUUAUAAUGAUCAGGAUGAAAUUCUUCAAUGAUCCCCCUUUCCCUUCUAGAGUUAUUUUUUUCCCUCCUACACUUAAUUCUGUGUGUCUAAAUAACAAAGAUGUAAAAAACUUUGAAUUCGUCAGCAUCAGCUGACAAAGUGAUAUCACAAUUUUAAAGUGACAGAGAAAAAUCAAAGACAUAUAGCCUUUCACUUUGAGCCUUUUCAAUUCAGGCAGAAUCUGUUUUCUCCCCAAGUUUAUUGAGGGAUAAUUGACAAAAUUUGUGUAUAUUUAUGGUGUAUAAUGUGAUAUGUGUGUGUAUAUACACACAUCAUGAAAUGAUUACCACAAUCAAGCUAAUGAACAUAGCCAUCAUGUCAUGUGGUUAUUUAUUUUUUUGUGGAAAAAACAUUUAAGAUCUACUCUCUUAGCACUUUUCAAGUAUACAACACAUUAUUAUUAACUACAGUCACCAUAGUGUGCAAUAGAUUUGGAAAAACUUCUUCCUUCUGUUUAAACUGAAACUUUGUAUCCUUUGACUAACAUUUUCCCUUUCCACUCCUUCCCAGGCCCUGUAACUACCAUUCUACUCCUGCUUCUUUUUUUUUUUUUUUUUUUUUUUUUUCUUUUACAAGGACAGAUAGCUUGGAUCUACUCCUGCUUCUAUGAGUUUAACUUUUUUAGAUUCCAAAUAUAAGUGAGAGUAAGUGAUAUUUGUCUUUCUGUGCCUGGUUUAUUUCACUUAGCAUAAUGUCACCCAGGUUCCUCUAUGUUGUCCCAAAUGACAGGAUUUCCUCCUUUUUAAAGGCUGAAUCAUAUUUACUUAUAGACCAUAGACUUAAAUAUGAAAGCUAAAACUAUUCAAUUCUAAGAAGAAAACACAGGAGUAAGCCUGUGACCACAGAUUAGACCU